rnacentral:lncRNA from 1 species
GCAAAACUUAGAGUGCAGAUAAUAGCUAUGUUGUUGGGCUUGGAGACUUGGCUCUCCAGCAAUCAAGGCCACAACCAGAACAAGUAAAGCUAAGGCAGAGCUAGAAGAAGUUCUUCUUGGGUGGCUGGUUUCUCCACUGAGGUAUUUUCUCAUUGCUAUACUAGUAUAUUAGAGUUAAUUUUCCUCUUCUUCCUUCGCUUUAUUUCUCUUUAAAAUAGGAAGUGUAUCUCGAGUGGUUUUUGUUGGAAAAUGCACCAAAUGCUUUCUAAGUGGUGAAUUGCUAUGAAUCAAAGGAAACUUAAGUAGGAUAAUCUGGGUGCAUUGUUAUCAAUUCUAGCAAGCCUUUGGAUUCUUGUGGAAAAAUGCAAGAGAGGCAUGAAAUACCAAGACACAAAUAAAAGAGGAGCUAGCUGGACUGCAUUGUGGAUGGAUUUCAAGCUCCCAUAAUGCUUGGUAAGUAAUGCCUGCAAGAAAAAAUUUAAAGGACUCAAAUGAGUCAUCGAUGCAGAAGUAGAAGAAGAUGGAUACAUAGGAAUGAAUAAAAUGGUAGCUACAUCUGACAGGUAUUGUGAUCAUCUUCUAAAAUGCAAAGCCUCGUAGUAAUUUCUUUUCUACUCUUUGUGGAAAACUUCCACAGCUAAUGUGAAUGAACAUAAAUUCUUGUGUUCCUUGUGAUCCAUUGAGCUUUGGCACCGUCGUCUACCAUCUUAGCUAAAUGCUAUAUAAGAUCCAUUGAAAACUUAAUGGCAGUAUAGUUGGUUCAUGCUCUGUUUCCUCUUCCUAAGAAUGCUGGUUUUUUUAAGGCCUUGUUUGUUCUUUUAUUAGAAACCAUAAAAAGCUCCUCUCCUUCUCCAUGAAGGACCCUCCCUAGAGUCAUCUAUCUCCCACAAGAUUUAUAGGAACACUGCUAUCACUUCUCUAUGAAAUUUGCAAUCUUGGGAGGGAGACACCUUCCAAUUGUCCAUUGAAUAGGCCACAGGGUGAAGUCCAAUUACUCUACAGCAGCUACAGAAGGUUCCUGCAGGAACUGUGCUCUCAUAGUCUCAUUGUUCAAAAAUCCCACUGAGAAGAGUACACCUCAAAUAUUAAAAAGUUCUUUCUCCAAAAAAGAAAAAUUUAAUGAAAUAUAUUUCUAUGAUAGGAUUAUUUUAGAUAAAGUAGAUCUAUCAAAAUUAUUUUGAAAAACUAAUGGCAAUGAUCUGCAAUCCAUAAUAUUUUAAGCAAUAAUUUUCUUUCUAUCAAGAAGUGAAUUACUUGGACAUCUCAAAAAUAUUUAUCUCAAACAUUCUUAGCAACAAUCAUGUACAACCAAAGGAUUGCCACACACUAUAUUUAUGUGAAAUUACUUUUCCAACAAAUAGAAAAGGGUUCUGAUCAUCUUACAAUCACCAUAAGCAGUGAUGAGUCAUCCUAACUCAUCCUUAAAAACACUUCAAGCAAUCGACUAAAAUUUCUAGAAAACAUAAUCCUUAGAUAUCUAAUUUGAUGUCAAAUAUCUCAUUCUAACAAAAGUAACACACAUAUAGCUUAGCAUAUUGACUGGAAAAAAAAUAAAUAAAUAAAUAAUUCAUUAUGUGCUUGUAACAUGGUAAUGUGUCGAUCGAACCUUGGUUGCUCUGUCCUUUCGGUCUACAUGGUGAGGAUCCAACAGACUAAAAUCACUAGAUCAAUCCAUACUGUUAGGAGCAUUCAUAACAGUAACUAAAAAGGUGCUUUUUGAAAUGAAAAAGAUGUUUCUGUGUUUCUUGGUUGCCUAAGAAACCCUUCAAAACCCAUCAGUUAAGUCAUGAUUGAGUUAUCCAAUACUUGUGCAGCAACAGUUCUAUCGAGAACUUUAAAUCCAAAUAUAAUUUUUGCUAGACAAAUCCAAUUAUAUUAAAUCUUGUCAUUUUAAUCUUGAAGAUGAGCUUCUCAUGUCCAUCUAGGAGCAGACGAUAGAAUGAUCAUUAUUUCAUGCAAAUCUUUUUCUAGAUUUACACUCGCGUCAUUUUUUUCCUGCAAAAGUUCUUUUCAAUAAACUCUCAAUUUAAUACAUAGUAUGGAAAACUUUAGCUCUUGAACCAUUGUUUUGGGUCAUUGUCUUUGGGGAGCUUAAUUGGUAGGUAGGUGUGUUAUAAAUGCAGCAGAGACGACGAAUUUGUUCCUAAUUAUUUCCACACUUCUAGUUGUGAUUUCGCUCUCCAAAUACAUCAAAUAAUUCAGAUCCUCUAAGCCAGUCAGUUUCAUCCGAGUACAUAGCAACAAAGGCUAUGUCUCCUUUGUCCUACUUCAUGUAUUGUUACCAAUUGAAAAAUGAAGCAUUAGUCCUCAAUGAUCUAAGCAUGUUUAUAAUUUUUGGUCGUGUUUUCGGUGUUAUAAUGUAUAGUGGCAACCUUAUUAUGACAUAAAUGAUAUAAUUUAAGGAAGAUCAUUGUAGCUUUGCAACAGCCGUUGUACCACUAUUUGGAGCGAGCCUUGUAUUGUCAACAUAAUGAUCGAAUAAUUAAACUAAUGAUGGUCGUGAUUUAUAUUAUCUUGUUAUAACAGGUAUCAUAUCAUGGAAACAAUGAUAUUUAUUGAUAUUCAUAACUAAAUUAGAAUAUUUUUCAAUUUAAUCACCAUACUUGUUUAAAACUAAGAGCUUAUUCUAUGCAUUGUGACAUUAUCAGAUAAUAUUGAUAUUAUACAUGAUUAUUGCUCAUUGUUUUCUAAUAACCAUUAGAUUUUCCCUAAGAUUUCCGUCAAAUGUUUGAUUAGGAAGAUGAUAUGAUCAUUAUUUACAUUGCAAUGAAAAAUAAUUGUUCUAAAUGAAGUUUAUUAUCAGGAGGAAUUAGCAUUGCUUAAAUCUUGUAAUAUAAUUGUGAGGACUUAUGUGGACGUAUGUUUAGUCCCAUAUCGAUUAUUCAUUGGAUAGAUCUUAGGUACUUAUACAAUACUAAGGAACCCAAAUAAUACCUUCCGGCUAACCAUUUUGGGUGAGGUCCUGGGUUGUUACAAAUGGUAUUAGAGCGGACUUGACCCAUAAUUUAUGUGGACUAGAGGACACUGCAACACAGAUUCAUUAGGGCUGACAACGGGCUAAUCGUAGUGUUUGUGAAUAGAUUUGAAUGGAUUUGAACCCUUAGCCUGACAAGAACGUCAGAGCUUGAACGGGGGAGUAUGUGAGGAAUCGUUCGGGCGUGUGUUUAGUCCUACAUCGGUCAUUCGCUGGGUAGAUCUUGGAUACUUGUGUAGGGUCUUGAGUUGUUACAAUAAUAUUGCAUUAGAUUUGAUUUUGCUAUUACCCACAAGUUGUUAAUUUUCAUAUAUUAGUAUCUUUAUUUAUAUAUUUUUAACCGAGAGAGAGAGAGAGAGAGAGAGAGAGAGAGAGAGAGAGAGAGAGAGAGAGAGANNNNNNNNNNNNNNNNNNNNGAGAGAGAGAGAGAUAUUUUAAUUAAACUUCAUGAGAAAAGAGGAGCUUGGUGAAGUGGUCCUUACUACAGAUGCCCCUUCCUCUAAUCGGGGUCAUGGAAGCGCGUGCAGUGGUCCAAUUGGUCCCUUGUUUCAUACUCCAUGGAAAGAGCAUUUUAGUUAGCAAGGUUUUCUUUCUAUUACAUAUGUCAAAAACGUUGGUUUCGUGGGGCAUAAAAUAGGUUUCAGGUGGCUUAGCGACUAUCGACCGGCUAACAAACAUAAUUGGACUCUUGAUUCUCUUCUCCUCAUAAUGUAAUUUUUUUCACAGAUUUUUUUACUUAAAAACAAAUAUAUAUUUUUCAAUAUCAUACAUCUUUAUAGAUAAAUUUUGUAAAAAAACGCAACCGAAUGAGUAUUUUGACAAAUCUCAUAUAUAUCUUAGUUUGUGUAUAGCUCUUCUUUGGUAAAAAAACCUAACAAACAAACUAUAUCAUUACCACACAAAUGCUCUCUAGGUCUCUUGGACUACAAAACAAAGAAUUCUCAUUGAAGUGUGAUGCAAUGCAUGGUAGAUUUUGAGAUGUGUGUUCAGUAGAUGAUGUUAGUUGUAGUAAGCCCACACAAUUAAUCAUACAUUGAAAAUGGAUUGCCAUGUUUGUCAUGCAUUAAAGCACCUAAACGGUGUUAGCACACUGCAUAGACAUGGUUCAAGAACAUGCUACUCUUGUUGGUCUGCAAGAAUAUAAUGAGUUUUUACUGAUUGCACAUCUAAGUUGUCCUGUGAUGCAGACAAAAAUAUCUUAAAAUGCAUGCUAGCUACAAGGAAAGAACGAUAAAUCUUGGUCUCAUGUCUCCCUUAGAAUGUAAUCGAAGGCAAAUUUACAUCCACAAUAUGCAAAGUAUUGUAAUUUUGCUGGCCAUUAAAACCAUCUCACUUCUAUCAUCCAGUAAUAUCAUGCUGAUGUCAAAUGCAUGGGCUUAACUUGAGAGUGCAAGAGAUAUCUCCUAUUCAUCUUCUUCUCUCUCUUGUGGCAGGGAAAGGGGUUAAACCCAGUGUCUAAUAAAAGCUAAAUCAGUGGUAUCAGCCUCAGAGAGAGAGAGAGAGAGCAAACUUUCCAAGGGAAAUUGGACUUCCAGACUUUGACUUCCUCAAGUGUGCUUCUAAUAUUGACAAGAAGAUCAGCAACUUGGUUUGCUUCUCGAAAUACAUUGUUGAUGCACAGAUAAGUGUAAUCUUACCAGG